AGAGUUUGAUCAUGGCUCAGAUUGAACGCUGGCGGCAGGCUUAACACAUGCAAGUCGAGCGGUAACAGGAGAGAGCUUGCUUUCUCGCUGACGAGCGGCGGACGGGUGAGUAAUGCCUGGGAAAUUGCCCUGAUGUGGGGGAUAACCAUUGGAAACGAUGGCUAAUACCGCAUAGAAGCUACGGCUUAAAGAGGGGGACCUUCGGGCCUCUCGCGUCAGGAUAUGCCCAGGUGGGAUUAGCUAGUUGGUGGGGUAAAGGCUCACCAAGGCAACGAUCUCUAGCUGGUCUGAGAGGAUGAUCAGCCACACUGGAACUGAGACACGGUCCAGACUCCUACGGGAGGCAGCAGUGGGGAAUAUUGCACAAUGGGCGCAAGCCUGAUGCAGCCAUGCCGCGUGUAUGAAGAAGGCCUUCGGGUUGUAAAGUACUUUCAGUGGUGAGGAAGGUUAUGUAUUUAAUAGAUGCGUAGCUUGACGUUAGCCACAGAAGAAGCACCGGCUAACUCCGUGCCAGCAGCCGCGGUAAUACGGAGGGUGCGAGCGUUAAUCGGAAUUACUGGGCGUAAAGCGCAUGCAGGUGGUCUGUUAAGUCAGAUGUGAAAGCCCGGGGCUUAACCUCGGAAUAGCAUUUGAAACUGUCAGACUAGAGUACUGUAGAGGGGGGUAGAAUUUCAGGUGUAGCGGUGAAAUGCGUAGAGAUCUGGAGGAAUACCGGUGGCGAAGGCGGCCCCCUGGACAGAUACUGACACUCAGAUGCGAAAGCGUGGGGAGCAAACAGGAUUAGAUCCCUGGUAGUCCACGCCGUAAACGAUGUCUACUUGGAGGUUGUGGCCUUGAGCCGUGGCUUUCGGAGCUAACGCGUUAAGUAGACCGCCUGGGGAGUACGGUCGCAAGAUUAAAACUCAAAUGAAUUGACGGGGGCCCGCACAAGCGGUGGAGCAUGUGGUUUAAUUCGAUGCAACGCGAAGAACCUUACCUACUCUUGACAUCUACAGAAGCUUGCGGAGACGCGAGUGUGCCUUCGGGAACUGUAAGACAGGUGCUGCAUGGCUGUCGUCAGCUCGUGUUGUGAAAUGUUGGGUUAAGUCCCGCAACGAGCGCAACCCUUAUCCUUGUUUGCCAGCACGUAAUGGUGGGAACUCCAGGGAGACUGCCGGUGAUAAACCGGAGGAAGGUGGGGACGACGUCAAGUCAUCAUGGCCCUUACAAGUAGGGCUACACACGUGCUACAAUGGCACAUACAGAGGGCAGCCAACUUGCAAAAGUGAGCGAAUCCCAAAAAGUGUGUCGUAGUCCGGAUCGGAGUCUGCAACUCGACUCCGUGAAGU
rnacentral:rRNA from 1 species